GAUGAACGCUGGCGGCGUGCCUAAUACAUGCAAGUCGAGCGAACAGAUAAGGAGCUUGCUCCUUUGAAGUUAGCGGCGGACGGGUGAGUAACACGUGGGUAACCUACCUAUAAGACUGGGAUCACUUCGGGAAACCGGAGCUAAUACCGGAUAACAUUUAGAACCGCAUGGUUCUAAAGUGAAAGAUGGUUUUGCUAUCACUUAUAGAUGGACCCGCGCCGUAUUAGCUAGUUGGUAAGGUAACGGCUUACCAAGGCGACGAUACGUAGCCGACCUGAGAGGGUGAUCGGCCACACUGGAGCUGAGACACGGUCCAGGCUCCUGCGGGAGGCAGCAGUAGGGAAUCUUCCGCAGUGGGCGAAAACCUGACGGAACAACGCCGCGUGAGAGGUGGAAGGUUUCGGCUCGUAAAACUCUGUUAUUAGGGAAAAACAGAUGUGUAAGGAACUGUACACAUCUUGACGGUACCUAAUCAGAAAGCCACGGCUAACUACGUG
rnacentral:rRNA from 1 species